UACGUAGGGGGCAAGCGUUGUCCGGAAUUAUUGGGCGUAAAGAGCUCGUAGGCGGCUUGUCACGUCGGGUGUGAAAGCCCGGGGCUUAACCCCGGGUCUGCAUUCGAUACGGGCAGGCUAGAGUGUGGUAGGGGAGAUCGGAAUUCCUGGUGUAGCGGUGAAAUGCGCAGAUAUCAGGAGGAACACCGGUGGCGAAGGCGGAUCUCUGGGCCAUUACUGACGCUGAGGAGCGAAAGCCAGGGGAGCAAACGGG
rnacentral:rRNA from 1 species